GAUGAACGCUGGCGGCGCGCCUAACACAUGCAAGUCGAACGGUUAAAGCACCUUUUAGGUGUGUAUAAAGUGGCGAACGGCUGAGUAACACGUGGGCAACCUGCCCUCCUCUUGGGGAUAGCCUCGGGAAACCGAGGAUAAUACCCGAUACUUCAAUGUGGCCGCAUGACGACAUUGAGAAAGCUUUUGCGGAGAAGGAUGGGCCCGCGGCCUGUUAGCUGUUGGUGGGGUAGAGGCCUACCAAGGCAAUGAUGGGUAGCUGGGUUGAGAGACCGACCAGCCAGAUUGGGACUGAGACACGGCCCAGACUCCUACGGGAGGCAGCAGUGGGGAAUCUUGCACAAUGGGCGAAAGCCUGAUGCAGCGACGCCGCGUGCGGGACGAAGGCCUUUCGGGUUGUAAACCGCUUUUCAGCAGGGACGAGGCGAAAGUGACGGUACCUGCAGAAGAAGCCCCGCUAA
rnacentral:rRNA from 2 species